CGAGAUUCCUCUACGUCUCGUGGGCUCGGAGAUGUGUAUAAGAGACAGAAACAUGUCUGGGAAGCAUGACCAAAGAAGGUAAAAGUCCUGUAUGAUAAAAACGUAUAUAUCAAAAAAGUAAAACAUUUUAAUUUGUUUGAAGAUAGGAGAACCACCUUCUAAGCCUGAAUAUGAUAUAUAGAUCGAUAGUGUACAAGUACUGUGAAGGAAAGGUGAAAAGAACCCUUUAUAACAGGGAGUGAAAAGAUCUGAAACAAAAUACUGACAAGCAAUUGGAGCUUAGCUUUUAUUUUUAAAUAAAACAUAGUGACAGUGUACCUUUUGCAUAAUGGGUCAGCGACUAAAUGAAACAAGUAUGCGUAAGCAGUGAUGUGGACGCAGAGCAAAAGCAAGUCGACAAUGGCAUGAUAUUUGGUUCAUUUGACCCGAAACUAAGUGAUCUUAUCUUGAACAGGUUGAAGAAAGCGUAAUGUCUUUUGGAGGACCGAACCGACGUCUGUAGCAAUAGACGCGGAUGAUUUGAGAUAAGGGGUGAAAGGCCAAUCAAACUUAGAAAUAGCUGGUUCUUCGCGAAAUAUAUUGAGGUAUAGCGUACAUAGAAUUUCUGUUACUGGGGGUAGAGCACUCAUUGAGCUAUGGGGGUCCAAAACCUUACUGCUCUCAAGGAAACUCCGAAUACCAUAUAACAUGAUGUGUGUGCAGUCAGACAUAUAGUGCUAAGGUUAUAUGUCGAAAGGGAAACAGCCCAGACCGCCAGCUAAGGUCCCCAAAUCAACACUAAGUGAUAAAGGAGGUGGGAUUGCAUAGACAACCAGGAGGUUUGCCUAGAAGCAGCCAUCCUCAAAGGAGUGCGUAAUAGCUCACUGGUCGAGCGAUCCUGCACCGAAAAUGAACGGGGCUAAGUGUUGUACCGAAGCUGCGGAUUUUAUGGUAGGGGAGCGUUCUAUGUGGGGCGAAGCAUUAGCGUGAGCGGAUGUGGACUGCAUAGAAGUGAGAAUGUCGGCUUGAGUAGCGAAAACAUGGGUGAGAAUCCCAUGCACCGAAACCCUAAGGGUUCCUCCGGCAGGCUCGUCCGCGGAGGGUUAGUCUGGACCUAAGGCGAGGCCGAAAGGCGUAGUCGAUGGAUAACAGGUCAACAUUCCUGUACCGGUCAUGUUUUGGGAAGAGGGACGGAGAAGGCUAGCCAAGCCAGAUGUUGGUUACUGGUUCAAGCGUUCGAGGCGUUGAGGAUCGGCGAAAACGAUCCGAGCUGAGGCGUGAGUACGAGCUGCUACGGCAGCGAAGUUGGUGACGUCAUGCUUCCAAGAAAAGCUCUAUACCCGUUAAGACAUGAUUGCCAGUACCCGAAACCGACACAGGUGGGGUGGUAGAGAAUACCGAGGUGCGCGAGGUAACUCUCUCUAAGGAACUCGGCAAAAUGGCCCCGUAACUUCGGGAGAAGGGGUGCCACAGCAAUGUGGUCGCAGUGAAGAGGCCCUGGCGACUGUUUACCAAAAACACAGGUCUCCGCUAAGUCGCAAGACGAUGUAUGGGGGCUGACGCCUGCCCAGUGCCGGAAGGUUAAGGAAGCCGGUCAGCGUAAGCGAAGCUGGCGACUGAAGCCCCGGUGAACGGCGGCCGUAACUAUAACGGUCCUAAGGUAGCGAAAUUCCUUGUCGGG
rnacentral:rRNA from 1 species